AAAAUUAUAUACAGUGCAUCUGUCUUAGUUUUGCAAACACUAUUUUUUUUUUUUUUUUGUCAUCUUCAAACUAAAAGAUCUUUUGCAAACACUAUUUAAUAAGUAUUUUGUUUUUUGGUUUCGAAAAGAGAGAAUCUAUGGACAUAUAUGUAAUGAAUGAAAUGAGAACAAUAUUAUAAUACAAGACCAAUGAUUGUCGUUGGUGAGCAUGGGCUUUAG
rnacentral:lncRNA from 1 species